UCCUUCCUCAGUGUUCUUUUCGGCCUUAGGUGUUCUUCGAGUCAUCCCCAUCUCUGCAUCUCUGCAUCCUUCGGACCUGCCUAGGUUAGUUUCAGAACUCUCCUCUUUAUUUUUUCUCUCAAUGUUCUUCUUUCAUUUUUCUUCUGUCACAUUCCAUCUGUUCAGUUUUCCACAAACUCCUUGUUUCUUAUUUUUUCCAAUUUUUUUGGAGUUUUUAGGAUUUUGUAAUGUACACUUCACU
rnacentral:lncRNA from 1 species